UACGUAGGGUGCAAGCGUUAAUCGGAAUUACUGGGCGUAAAGCGUGCGCAGGCGGUUGUGUAAGACAGAUGUGAAAUCCCCGGGCUUAACCUGGGAACUGCAUUUGUGACUGCACGGCUGGAGUGCGGCAGAGGGGGAUGGAAUUCCGCGUGUAGCAGUGAAAUGCGUAGAUAUGCGGAGGAACACCGAUGGCGAACGCAAUCCCCUGGGCCUGCACUGACGCUCAUGCACGAAAGCGUGGGGAGCAAACAGG
rnacentral:rRNA from 1 species